UACGUAGGGCGCAAGCGUUAUCCGGAAUUAUUGGGCGUAAAGAGCUCGUAGGCGGUUUGUCGCGUCUGCUGUGAAAUCCCGAGGCUCAACCUCGGGUCUGCAGUCGAUACGGGCAAACUAGAGUAUUGCAGGGGAGACUGGAAUUCCUGGUGUAGCGGUGAAAUGCGCAGAUAUCAGGAGGAACACCGGUGGCGAAGGCGGGUCUCUGGGCCGAUACUGACGCUGAGGAGCGAAAGCGUGGGGAGCGAACAGG
rnacentral:rRNA from 1 species